UUUUGCCGCCUAAUGAAGGCCUUACACCAAAAACACGUGGUUCGACGUGUCUGCGCAGGUUACCAUCGGUCUAUUCCUUCCACUCUCAAUUGACUACGAGGUCUCAAGUCGCUUUCCAACGCGCCAUGGUGUUACAACGCAGUGAAAUACGUGUAAAGGCUUAUAACGACUGUUAUAUGGCCUUUUACCACCUAAUAAAAGCCUUUCACGUAAAACAUGUGUUCCACGUGCCUACGCAGUUUACCAUCGGUCUAUUCGUUCCACUCUCAAUGGGCUACGACGUCUCAAGACGCUUUACAUCACGCCAUGGUCUUACAGCACAGUGAACUACGUGUAGAGGCCUCUAAGGGCUGUUAUAUGACCUUUACCACCUAAUGAAGGCUUUACCAGUAAAUCACGUGGUUCCACGUGCCUGCGCAGUUUAUCAUCGGUACAGUCCUUCCGCCAUAAAUGGCCUAAAACGUCUCAAGUUGUUUUCCAUUCCGCCAUUGUCUUACAACGCAGUGAACUACGUGUAAAGGCCUCUAAGCACUGUUGGCUCUUGCCGCAUAAUAAAAUCCUUACACCUAAAACUCGUGGUUCGACGCGUCUGUGCAGGUUACCAUCGGUCUAUUCCUUCCACUCUAAAUGACUUACGACGUUUCAAGACGUUUUCCAUCGCCCCAUGGUCUUACAACACAGUGAACUACGUGUAGAGGCCUCUAAGGGCUGUUAUAUGACCUUUUGCCCCUUAAUAAAAUCCUUACACGUAAAACAUGUGGUUCCACGUGCAUGCUCAAGUUACUAUCGGUCUAUUCCUGCCACACUCAACGGACUACGAUGUCUGAAGUCCUUUGCCAUCGUGCCAUGAUCUUCUAACGCAGUGAAGUACGUGUAAAUGCCUCUAACGACUGUUAUAUGGCCCUUUACCCCCUAACAAAGGCCUUGCACGUAAAUCACGUGGUUCCACCUACCUACUCAGUUUACCAUCGCUCUAUUCCUUCCACUCUCAAUGGACUACUACGUCUCAAGUUGUUUUCCAUCGCGCCAUGGUCUUACAACACAGUGAACUACGUGUAGAGGCCUCUAAAGAUUGUUAUAUGGCCUCUUGCCGCCUAAUAAAGGCCUUACUCCUAAAACACUUGAUUCGACGUGUCUUAGCAGGUUACCAUCGGUCUAUUCCUUCUACACUCAAUAGACUACGACGUUUCAAGACAUUUUCCAUCGCGCCAUGGCCUUACAACACUGUAAACUACGUGUAGAGCCCUCUAAAGACUGUUAGAUGGCCUUUUGCUGCCUAAUAAAGGCUUUACACGUAAUUUACGUGGUUCGGCGUGUCUACGCAGGUUACCAUUGGUCUAUUCCUUCCACUCUCAAUGAACUACGACGUCUCAAGACGCUUUCCAUCGCGCCAUGGUCUUACAGCACAGUGAACUACGUGUAGAGGCCUCUAAGGGCUGCUAUAUGACCUUUUACCACAUAAUAAAAGCCUUACACGUAAAUCAAGUGGUUCCACGUACUUCCGCAGUUUAACAUCGGUCUAUUCCUCCUACACUCACUGGACUACGACGUUUCAAGUCGUUUUCCAUCGCGCCAUGGUCUUACAACGCAGUGAAAUACUUGUAAAGGCCUCUAAGGACUGUUAUAUGGCUUUUUGCCGCCUAAUAAAGGCCUUACACCUAAAACACGUGGUUCCACGUGUCUGCGCAGGUUACCAUCGGUCUAUUUCAUCCACUCUCAAUGGACUACGACGUCUCAAGUCGAUUUCCAACGCGCCAUGGUCUUACAACAUAGUGAACUACGUGUAGAGGCCUCUAAAGACUGUUAUAUGGCCCUUUGCCACCUAACAAAGGUCCUACACGAAAAUCACGUGGUUUUACGAGCCUGCGCAGGUUACCAUCGGUCUAUUCCUUCCACUCUCAAUGGACUACGACGUUUCAAGUCGCUUUCCAUGGCGCCAUGGUUUUACAACACUGUGAACUACGUGUAAAGACUUCUAAAGACUGUUAUACGGCAUUUUGCCGCCUAAUAAAGGCCUCACACCUAAAACACGUGGUUCGACGUGUCUGCGCAGGUUACCAUCGGUCUAUUCCUUCCACUCUCAAUGGACUACGAGGUCUCAAGUCGCUUUCCAACGCGCGAUGGUCUUACAACAUAGUGAACUACGUGUAGAGGCCUCUAAAGACUGUUAUAUGGCCCUUUGCCAACUAACAAAGGCCCUACACAUAAAUCACGUGGUUCCACGUGCCUGCGCAGGUUAGCAUCGGUCUAUUCCUUCUACACUUACUGGACUACGUCGUUUCAAGUCGUUUUCCAUCGCGCCAUGGUCUUAUAACACUGUAAACUACGUGUAGAGGUCUCUAAAGACUGUUAGAUGGCCUUUUGACGUCUAGUAAAGGCUUUACACGUAAAUCACGUGGCUCCCCGUGCCUGCGCAGUUCAUCAUCAGUACAGUCCUUCCGCCAUAAAUGGACUAAAACGUCUCAAGUUGUUUUCCAUUCCGCCAUUGUUUACAACACAGUCAACUACGUGUACGGGCCUCUAAGAGCUGUUAUAUGGCCUUUUACCGCCUAUUAAAUUCUUUACAAGUAAAUCACCUACCUGCGCAGUUUACCAUCGGUGUAUUCCUUCCACUCUCAAUGGAGUAAGACGUCUCAAGACGCUUUCCAUCGCGCCAUGGUCUUACGGCACAGUGAACUACGUGUAGAGGCCUCUAAGGGCUGCCAUAUGACCUUUUACCACAUAAUAAAGGCUUUACACGUAAUUCACGUGGUUCCACGUGUCUACGCAGGUUACCAUCGGUCUAUUCCUUCCACUCUCAAUGGGCUACGACGUCUCAAGUUGUUUUCCAUCACGCCAUGGUCUCACAACACAGUGAACUACGUGUAGAGGCCUCUAAAGAUUGUUAUAUGGCCUGUUGCCGCCUAAUAAAGGCUUUACACGUAAUUCACGUGGUUCGACGUGUCUGCGCAGGUUACCAUCGGUCUAUUCCUUCCACUCUCAAUGGACUACGACGUCUGAAGUCGAUUUCCAACGCGCCAUGGUCUUACAACAUAGUGAACUACGUGUAGAGGCCUCUAAAGACUGUUAUAUGGCCCUUUCCCACCUAACAAAGGUCCUACACGUAAAUCACGUGGUUCCACGAGCCUGCGCAGGUUACCAUCGGUCUAUUCCUUCUACACUCACUGGACUACGACGUUUCAAGUCGUCUUCCAACGCAGAGAAAUACGUGUAAAGGCCUCUAAGGACUGUUAUAUGGCCUUUUGCCGCCUAAUAAAGGCCUCACACCUAAAACACGUGGUUCGACGUGUCUGCGCAGGUUACCAUCGGUCUAUUCCUUCCACUCUCAAUGGACUACGAGGUCUCAAGUCGCUUUCCAACGUGCGAUGUUCUCACAACAUAGUGAACUACGUGUAGAGGCCUCUAAAGACUGUUAUAUGGCCCUUUGCCAACUAACAAAGGUCCUACACGUAAAUCACGUGGUUCGACGUGUCUGCGCAGGUUACCAUCGGUCUAUUCCUUCCACUCUCAAUGGGCUACGACGUCUCAAGUUGUUUUCCAUCACGCCAUGGUCUCACAACACAGUGAACUACCUGUAGAGGCCUCUAAGGCCUGUUAUAUGACAUUUUACCACCUAAUAAAAGCCUUACACGUAAAACAUGUGGUUCCAUGUGUUAGCCCAGGUAAACAUCGGUCUAUUCCUUCUACACUCACUGGACUACGACAUUUCAAGUCAUCUUCCAACGCAGUGAAAUACGUGUAAAGGCCUCUAAGGACUGUUAUAUGGCCUUUUGCCGCCUAAUAAAGGCCUCACACCUAAAACACGUGGUUCCACGUGCCUGCGCAGUUUAUCAUCGGUACAGUCCUUCCGCCAUAAAUGGCCUAAAACGUCUCAAGUUGUUUUCCAUUCCGCCAUUGUCUUACAACGCAGUGAACUACGUGUAAAGGCCUCUAAGCACUGUUGGCUCUUGCCGCAUAAUAAAAUCCUUACACCUAAAACUCGUGGUUCGACGCGUCUGUGCAGGUUACCAUCGGUCUAUUCCUUCCACUCUAAAUGACUUACGACGUUUCAAGACGUUUUCCAUCGCGCCAUGGUCUUACAACACAGUGAACUACGUGUAGAGGCCUCUAAGGGCUGUUAUAUGACCUUUUGCCCCUUAAUAAAAUCCUUACACGUAAAACAUGUGGUUCCACGUGCAUGCUCAAGUUACUAUCGGUCUAUUCCUGCCACACUCAACGGACUACGAUGUCUGAAGUCCUUUGCCAUCGUGCCAUGAUCUUCUAACGCAGUGAAGUACGUGUAAAUGCCUCUAACGACUGUUAUAUGGCCCUUUACCCCCUAACAAAGGCCUUGCACGUAAAUCACGUGGUUCCACCUAUCUAGUCAGUUUACCAUCGCUCUAUUCCUUCCACUCUCAAUGGACUACUACGUCUCAAGUUGUUUUCCAUCGCGCCAUGGUCUUACAACACAGUGAACUACGUGUAGAGGCCUCUAAAGAUUGUUAUAUGGCCUCUUGCCGCCUAAUAAAGGCCUUACUCCUAAAACACUUGAUUCGACGUGUCUUAGCAGGUUACCAUCGGUCUAUUCCUUCUACACUCAAUAGACUACGACGUUUCAAGACAUUUUCCAUCGCGCCAUGGCCUUACAACACUGUAAACUACGUGUAGAGCCCUCUAAAGACUGUUAGAUGGCCUUUUGCUGCCUAAUAAAGGCUUUACACGUAAUUCACGUGGUUCGACGUGUCUACGCAGGUUACCAUUGGUCUAUUCCUUCCACUCUCAAUGAACUACGACGUCUCAAGACGCUUUCCAUCGCGCCAUGGUCUUACAGCACAGUGAACUACGUGUAGAGGCCUCUAAGGGCUGCUAUAUGACCUUUUACCACAUAAUAAAAGCCUUACACGUAAAUCACGUGGUUCCACGUACUUCCGCAGUUUAACAUCGGUCUAUUCCUCCUACACUCACUGGACUACGACGUUUCAAGUCGUUUUCCAUCGCGCCAUGGUCUUACAACGCAGUGAAAUACGUGUAAAGGCCUCUAAAGAUUGUUAUAUGGCCCUUUGCCACUAAAUAAAAGCCUUACACAUAAAUCACGUGGUUCCACGUACUUCCGCAGGUCAACAUCGGUGUAUUCCUUCUACACUCAAUGGACUACGACGUCUGAACUUAUUUUCCAUAGCGCCAUGGUCUUACAAAACAGUAAAAUACCCGUAGAGGCCUCUAAAGAU